rnacentral:rRNA from 1 species
AGAAUCAACGCUGGCGGCGUGCCUCAGACAUGCAAGUCGAACACGAAAGUUCCCUUCGGGGAACGAGUAGAGUGGCGCACGGGUGAGUAACACGUAGGUAAUCUACCUCUGGAUGGGGAAUAACAACCGGAAACGGUUGCUAAUACCGCAUGAUGCAGCGGCACCUAAUGGUGACAGUUGUUAAAGCGGGGGAUCGAAAGACCUCGCGUCUGAAGAGGAGCCUGCGGCGGAUUAGCUAGUUGGUAAGGUAAUGGCUUACCAAGGCUACG